UGCCAGCCGCCGCGGUAAUAUGGAGGGUGCAAGCAUUAAUCGGAAUUAUUGGGCGUAAAGGGCGCGUAGGCGGAUUUGCAAGUCAGAUGUGAAAUACCGAGGCUUAACCUCGGUGCUGCAUUUGAAACUGCAAACCUUGAGGAUAGACGGAGAAAGCGGAAUUCCACAUGUAGCGGUGAAAUGCGUGGAUAUGUGGAAGAACACCUGUGGCGAAAGCGGCUUUCUAGUUUAUUCCUGACGCUGAGGCGCGAGAGCAAGGGGAGCAAACAGGAUUAGAUA
rnacentral:rRNA from 1 species